GACGAACGCUGGCGGCGUGCUUAACGCAUGCAAGUCGAACGGAAAGGCCCUGCUUUUGUGGGGUGCUCGAGUGGCGAACGGGUGAGUAACACGUGAGUAACCUGCCCUUGACUUUGGGAUAACUUCAGGAAACUGGGGCUAAUACCGGAUAGGAGCUCCUGCUGCAUGGUGGGGGUUGGAAAGUUUCGGCGGUUGGGGAUGGACUCGCGGCUUAUCAGCUUGUUGGUGGGGUAGUGGCUUACCAAGGCUUUGACGGGUAGCCGGCCUGAGAGGGUGACCGGCCACAUUGGGACUGAGAUACGGCCCAGACUCCUACGGGAGGCAGCAGUGGGGAAUAUUGCACAAUGGGCGGAGGCCUGAUGCAGCAACGCCGCGUGCGGGAUGACGGCCUUCGGGUUGUAAACCGCUUUCGCCUGUGACGAAGCGUGAGUGACGGUAAUGGGUAAAGAAGCACCGGCUAACUACGUG
rnacentral:rRNA from 1 species